AUAYAUUACAAAGGAAGCUUAUCGUUUUGAGGGGAAUGUUGUCUGGUACGAGGCUAAUAAGUCAGCAAUUCCUCGGACCAGGCUUCAUUCCCCUCAACUAAUGCUUCCAUCUAAUUUGCCAA
rnacentral:pre_miRNA from 1 species